UUGACCUCCCAGAUGCCCAGCACUGGGUGUGCAGCAGAGCUGGUGAUUCCAGCUGGGGAGGUGAGGACUCCACUGCGAGCUGAGCGGGAACAGCCCCUUCCCAUGACUGAGGCCCCAGAGGCACGGAAUGGUCAGAAUGCCGGUGGCUGAGGGAGGCACGGGGGCAGCUGCUGGAGGAGGGAGACACGCAGAAGGAGCAUUUCAGGCACUGGAAGGACAGGUCAUUUCUCUGCCCCGCCUCCGCUCCUUCCUUUGCUGCCUCCAGAGAGUGGUUUCCGGCGGCUCUGUUAUCUCGGGGCUGGCAGGUGGUUUCUGCCUCUCCCUCACUCAGCAAACACGCAGCUUGGUCUCGGCAUGCACCUCGCCUAUCUCAUCCUCACGGUCUUCCUGGGCCAGCUCCUGGUGGCUGUGGCCAGAGCCCAGGUCCAGCAGGAGCCACGGCUGGAGACCACCGAGAACACCGGCAUCAACAUCAGCUGCUCACAUCCCAAAAUCCAGACCGGAGACUGGAUCCAGUGGUACCGUCAGCUCCCGGGCCGAGGACCCGAACUGCUCGCGCUCACUGUGAAAGAGUCCAAAGAGCUGCCGGACAUUGCGGGCGGUCUGUGGGUGUCGGCAGAUCGCCGGAGCAGCGCGCUGUGGCUCCGGCGGCCCCGGCGCGGGGACGCGGCCGUGUAUUACUGCGCGCUGGGGGACACGGGCAGAGGAGCCGGGGCUGCGGCCGGGCACGAACCGCCGCGGGCGGGAGACACCGGCACCGGCACUGACAUUGGCAUCAACAGCGGCAUUGACACCGACACCAACACCGAUAUUGACACCGACUGA